CUGCUUUGGCAGCAGAUAUACUAAAACUGGAACCACACAGAGAAAAUUAGCAUGACCCCUGUGCAAGGAUGACAGGCACAUUUGUGAAGCACUCCACAUUAAA
rnacentral:snRNA from 1 species